rnacentral:rRNA from 1 species
UACGGGGGGGGGGCAAGCGUUGUUCGGAAUUACUGGGCGUAAAGGGCUCGUAGGCGGCCAACUAAGUCGGAUGUGAAAUCCCCAGGCUUAACCUGGGAACUGCAUCCGAUACUGGAUGGCUUGAAUUCGGGAGAGGGAUGCAGAAUUCCAGGUGUAGCGGUGAAAUGCGUAGAUAUCUGGAGGAAUACCGGGUGGCGAAGGCGGCAUCCUGGGACCGAGAUUGACGCUGAUGAGCGAAAGCUAGGGGAGCAAACGGG